AACGAACGCUGGCGGCGCGCCUAAUACAUGCAAGUCGAGCGAGAAGGUGUAGCAAUACACUUGUAAAGCGGCGAACGGGUGAGGAAUACAUGGGUAACCUACCCUCGAGUGGGGAAUAACUAGCCGAAAGGUUAGCUAAUACCGCAUACGAUUCCGGGACUUCGGUUCCGGAAGGAAAGCGAUACCGUGGGUAUCGCGCUCCUGGAUGGGCUCAUGUCCUAUCAGCUUGUUGGUGAGGUAACGGCUCACCAAGGCUUCGACGGGUAGCUGGUCUGAGAGGACGAUCAGCCACACUGGCACUGCGACACGGGCCAGACUCCUACGGGAGGCAGCAGGAAGGAAUAUUGCGCAAUGGGCGAAAGCCUGACGCAGCGACGCCGCGUGGGGGAUGAAGGUCUUCGGAUUGUAAACCCCUUUCGGGAGGGAAGAUGGGAUGGGUAACCAUCCGGACGGUACCUCCAGAAGCAGCCACGGCUAACUUCGUGCCAGCAGCCGCCGUAAGAC
rnacentral:rRNA from 1 species